rnacentral:rRNA from 1 species
UACGUAGGGUGCAAGCGUUGUCCGGAAUUACUGGGUGUAAAGGGUCCGCAGGCGGGCAGACAAGUCGGUGGUGAAAUCUCUUCGCUCAACGGAGAGACUGCCAUCGAUACUGUUUGUCUUGAGUUCGAGAGAGGAUAAUGGAAUUCAUGGUGUAGCGGUGAAAUGCGUAGAGAUCAUGAAGAACACCGGUAGCGAAGGCGGUUAUCUGGCUCGAUACUGACGCUCAGGGACGAAAGCGUGGGUAGCAAACAGG